GAUGAACGCUAGCGGCAGGCCUAAUACAUGCAAGACGAACGGUAAGUUGAGUAGCAAUACUUGACCAAGAGUGUCGUAAGGGUGCGUAACACGUAUGCAAUCUGCCCUCAACAGGAGGAUAGCUCCCCGAAAGGGGAAUUAAUACUGCGUAAGAUUGUAGUUCGGCAUCGGACAGCAAUUAAAACCGAGGUGGUUGAGGAUGAGCAUGCGCAUGAUUAGUUAGUUGGCGGGGUAACGGCCCACCAAGACGAUGAUCAUUAGGGGAACUGAGAGGUUGAUCCCCCACACUGGCACUGAGAUACGGGCCAGACUCCUACGGGAGGCAGCAGUAGGGAAUAUUGGACAAUGGGUGCGAGCCUGAUCCAGCCAUGCCGCGUGCAGGAAGACGGCCUUCUGGGUUGUAAACUGCUUUUGCCAGGGGAUAAAAAGUCCCUGCGGGAAAAUUGAAGUACUUAAUGAA
rnacentral:rRNA from 1 species